UAAACGACUCUCGGCAACGGAUAUCUCGGCUCAUGCAUCGAUGAAGAACGUAGCAAAAUGCGAUACUUGGUGUGAAUUGCAGAAUCCCGUGAACCAUCGAGUUUUUGAACGCAAGUUGCGCUCGAAGCCUUCUGAUUGAGGGCACGUCUGCCUGGGCGUCAUGC
rnacentral:rRNA from 1 species